GGAGUAGAAGUAUCCUUCGAUGCAGGCUGGCAGAAGCGUGGUAGUGGAAGAUCAUACAACAGUUUAUCAGGUCAUGCCUGUAUGAUUGGUACCAAAACAGGCAAGAUUAUCAGCUACGAUGUUAGAAACAAGAGCUGCCGUAUUUGUUAAAAUGCUGCAUUGUCCGAAGAACCUCCACGGCAACAUGACUGCAGGAAAAACUGGGAUGGUAGUGCUAAAGGGAUGGAAUGUGACAUGGCUGUAAGCAUGCUAAAAGACCUUGAGGCCAAGAACAUAAGUGUGGAGACAAUUGUGAUGGACGAUGACACUACAACGAUUGCAAGGGCAAGAAAAGAAGUGAAAGCCAGACUAAAGAAAAAGAGUGAUAGUAACCACGCCAAAAAACAUUUCACCAAUAGAUUAUACGGUUUACAAAUUGCCAAAAAGUACAGACAGUUGGGAACGAAGACCAUAGCUCAUUUAAAGAAAUGUUUCAACAAUAUCAUUGCUGUGAACAAGAACA